AGUGAACGCUGGCGGUAGGCCUAACACAUGCAAGUCGAACGGCAGCACAGUAAGAGCUUGCUCUUACGGGUGGCGAGUGGCGGACGGGUGAGGAAUACAUCGGAAUCUACUUUUUCGUGGGGGAUAACGUAGGGAAACUUACGCUAAUACCGCAUACGACCUACGGGUGAAAGCAGGGGAUCUUCGGACCUUGCGCGAUUGAAUGAGCCGAUGUCGGAUUAGCUAGUUGGCGGGGUAAAGGCCCACCAAGGCGACGAUCCGUAGCUGGUCUGAGAGGAUGAUCAGCCACACUGGAACUGAGACACGGUCCAGACUCCUACGGGAGGCAGCAGUGGGGAAUAUCGGACAAUGGGCACAAGCCUGAUCCAGCCAUACCGCGUGGGUGAAGAAGGCCUUCGGGUUGUAAAGCCCUUUUGUUGGGAAAGAAAAGCAGCAGGUUAAUACCCCGCUGUUCUGACGGUACCCAAAGAAUAAGCACCGGCUAACUUCGUG
rnacentral:rRNA from 1 species